GUUGCGGUCCGGACAGAGCAAAAAAAACAAGGCAUCAGUAUUGUUGAGUAUUAGCUUGUACCUGGUUCGGAGGCUAAAAUUACAGGGCCUACUGGGGGAGGGACCCCUACCGCCUUCCCCAUCCCCGGAACUUGCAGAAGUUGCCCGAGGCCUGCAGCGCGCCCAACUCCCGCCUCCUCUUCCCCAGCUCAGCCUGCCCAGAUUGGACUCUCUCACGCCCACGUCCCUGGGGUCGACGCCCUGGAGCUGCGAGAGCGCUCUUCACCCGGCUCCCAGAGCCAGCCUGGAUUUGAAGAACAGUGAAAAAGAAUAUCCAACGCCCCUUGAACCAGCAUAUGAAGUUACACACAACUGCCUCAAGGACUGCACAGGCGCUCACUGCUACAGGCAGGAGGGGAACAGUAUCCUCAUUUCUGGCCGUCUGCCUCCGCAUCACCUCCUGCGCUGCUUAGAUCCCUGGAGCUGGGUGAGGGGACGGGGGCCUCCAGGUAGGCAGCAUCCUGUCCCCCGCCCCGCCAACAUCACACACACGUACAAGGGAUGAGAAAGCACCAGGCUUGGAUGGCGAAAAUCCAGAGUAACGUGGAGAAGAAUCCCAGGUAACCCUUCUCUGGCUUGCCCUUGAUAUCCCCCGAAGGAUUGCAAUGUGGAAGAGGAGAAAAGAAGGAAAAAGAAGAAAAGGAAAGCUGCCCAACUUGCAACCUCGAGAGCAAGCUUGGAUAAGAUUACUAGAAAAAAAAUUACUAGUAAUCUGAGAAACACACACUGAAACCUAAAUGAAGCAAAGUGUCUUUCUACCUAAUUGGUAAAAAACGGAAUGUUGGGGACACUGAGAGCUGGAGAGCAUGUGGGAAAGGAAAGCCCUGGGGCGUGAUGGUGAGGAGCAGCAGCAUGUCAGUAUCUUCUGAUGUUAAAUAUGUGCAUACAUCAUGCCCCUGAAAUCCAAUUUUUGGGUAUGAGUCCCAGAACACCUUUCACACAGAUAUGAAAGGAAACAUGCUGAUCACUGCAGCACUGUUAGUGUUGCCAAACAGAGGCAAACUGACCAUCCUUCAUUAGGUGAAUGGAUAAAGAAAUGAGGAAGAGGACGUUCUGGGUGGCCAUGCAGCAGCCAGAAGAGCAAACCAGAGCUACGUGUAGCAACACGACGGCCGUAAAUACAUUUUAUGUGAAAAAGUAAGAAACAGAGUAAGAUGUGUAAAACAGUGUCACUUAUGUAAAUUACAAACAGUAAUGUAGUCCCUCAGCAGUUGACUGGAAUAAUAAACAGUGGCACCUCUGUACAGGGCAGUCCUACUCAGCAUGAAAAAGGAGUGGAUCUGAUUCAGGCCACAUCACGGAUGAAUCUCAGAAGCAUCAUGCUAAGCGGAAAAGGACAGAUGCAAAACACUGCCCAUGGUAGGGCUCCAUUUGCAACAAAGUUGAGAACAGGUGAAACUAAUCUAUAGGGGUGGGAAGAUGGGAGCAGGGGUGGUGGAGUUGACUCCAAAGAGGUACAGGGGACUUUCUCUAGGGUGAUGGAAAUGUUUUAUGUCUUGAUUGUGGAAGUGAUGGGAAUGUACACUUUUGUCAAAAUUUAUCAAACUAGACACUUAAAACAGGUACCUUUUUAUUGAAUGAAA